UUCCUGUCUUAUAUCUUGUGCACAGUUA
rnacentral:sRNA from 1 species